GCGCGGCUUUUGGCCCUUGAAGGGAUCCGUCCGGUGGAAGACGAGUCAGUGGCGCCGGAAAGUGACGUUGGAGCCGGCAGAGUCUGGGAAAGACGCAGGUUCUCGCGAGGACCGCCCCGUUAACCCUUCACUCUGUCUUCGGCGUUCGGAUAGCUCGCUUGUUAGCGUGUGUACAUUGUCGUCUCCAGUCUAGCCUGGAGGAUAAAAGCUGUGCCAGAGUCGGUUCUGUUGUCAUCUUGUUCACCAACACUCACGGUUUUCAUAUUCCACACUCUUAGCUUUGAAUCUCUGGGCAAAUUACUGGCAGCCCAAAGAAAAUCCAUCUACAUAUGGCAUCCAAAGUGGGGGUUCGAAUAUCCAAACAGAGGGCCUGAGAAAGCUAAGAAAAGUUCUGGACAAAGAGCCAGGGUCCCCCAAAGAUGCCAUCAUCCCUAGAAAACAAGAAGCAGUCUAUAGAACAUGACACCCACAUUCCCAAGAGGAUGUGAUUACAUCAACGAGAAAACAUGAUACAGAAGUGUAACUGAAAGAAGAAAGACCUCGAUGGGUGGAGACUGAAACAUCCUUGAGAUGUCUUACUAACUCAAAGAUGAAGAUGGAGAAAAACAUUGAAGAUGUUACUAUGUAAGUCCAGAAGCAGGAAAAAAUUCCUGUCACCGCAGUGUUUUCUAUGCACAUCCUUAGUGAAUAUCAGGGGGGACAUACAAGAAACCAUAACAUACAAUGUGACAACAGUGGCUAUAGAAUGUGGCAGGAGGGACGUGAAUGGGGUCCCUACUGGGAGAAGGACUUUUCAUUGCCUCCUAACAGCACAUUUGAAAUGAUGCAACUGUAUCGGCACUUCAAAAACUUAACCCUCUCAGGACUGAGAAAGUUGUGACAACCAGAGACCUGGAUGUUCCCACCAAGAAAGUAAAGAAGAACUCCACACAGCCAGCUGAUCUUGCCUUCCUCUUCAGCAUGGUUGUUGAGAGGGACUAUAGAGUGGAUCCAGAUAGUCAGCUCAUCUGGGUAGCACUCUGGCGAAGGACAGAGAAUAUUUCCUCUGGCCUGGAUAGAGGAUUGUGGGCUUGAUAGAAACACAAGUGGAUUCAGAGUCAUUUCCAAGACCAGAUCAAAAAGAAAUGGAAUAC